GUCUAUGGCCAUCCACCCUGAGCAAGCCCGAUAUCUAAUCUCAGAAGCUAAGAAGGGCCGGGCCUGGUUAGUACUUGGAUGGGAGACCACCUAGGAAGACCAGGUGCUGUAGGCA
rnacentral:rRNA from 1 species